UUAGGAUUAGGAUUAGGAUUUUGGAUUGGUUUAAGAUUUGGUUAGGAUUAGGAUUAGUAUUUUGAGUUGAUUUAAGAUUUGAUUAGGAUUAACAUUAGGAUUUUGGAUUGAUUUAAGGUUUGGUUUAGAUUAGGAUUUGGUUAGGAUUUGUCUAGGAUUUGACUAGGAUUUGUUUAGGUUUUGAUUAGGACUUAUUUAGGAUUUUUUUAGGAUUUUUUUAAGAUUUGGUUAGGAUUUUUUUUGGGUUUGAUUAGAAUUUGAUUAGGAUUUGACUAGAGUUUGACUAAGAUUUGUCUAAGAUUUUAUUAGGGCUUAUUUAAAAUUUGUCUAGGAUUUUAUUAGAAUUUGUUUAGGAUAAGAUUAAGAUUUGACUAGAAUUUGACUAGGAUUUGACUAAGAUAUGAUUAGGGCUUAUUUAAGAUUUGUCUAAGAUUUGACUAGGAUUUAUUUAGAGUUUGAUUAGGAUUUAUUUAGAACUUGAUUAGGAUUUGGUUAAGAUUUGUUUAAUAUUUGAUUAAGAUUUGAUUAGAAUUUGACUAAGAUUUGACUAGGAUUUAUCUAAGGUUUGAUUAUGGCUUAUUUAGAAGUUGACUAGGAUUUGACAAAGAUUUGAUUAAAUUUUGACUAGAUUUUGAUUAGAAUUUAAUUAAGGUUUUUAUUUUAAUAUUUUAUUAAAAUUUCUAUUUUA
rnacentral:lncRNA from 1 species